rnacentral:rRNA from 1 species
UACGUAGGGUGCGAGCGUUAAUCGGAAUUACUGGGCGUAAAGCGUGCGCAGGCGGUUUUGUAAGCCAGGUGUGAAAUCCCCGGGCUCAACCUGGGAAUGGCAUUUGGGACUGCAAGGCUGGAGUGCGGCAGAGGAGACUGGAAUUCCUGGUGUAGCAGUGAAAUGCGUAGAUAUCAGGAGGGAUACCGAUGGCGAAGGCAGGUCUCUGGGCUGACACUGACGCUCAUGCACGAAAGCGUGGGGAGCAAACAGG